AAUCAACGCUGGCGGCGUGCCUAACACAUGCAAGUCGAGCGAGAAAGUGUAGCAAUACAUGAGUACAGCGGCGCACGGGUGAGUAACACGUGGGUAAUCUGCCCUAGAGUGGGGAAUAACACCGGGAAACCGGUGCUAAUACCGCAUACGAUCACGAUGUCUGCGGAUGUUGGGGUGAAAGGAGCAAUUCGCUCUUGGAGGAGCCCGCGGCUGAUUAGCUAGUUGGUAAGGUAACGGCUUACCAAGGCAACGAUCAGUAGCCGGUCUGAGAGGACGGUCGGCCACACUGGAACUGAGACACGGUCCAGACUCCUACGGGAGGCAGCAGUGGGGAAUUUUUCGCAAUGGGGGCAACCCUGACGAAGCAACGCCGCGUGGGUGAUGAAGUCUCUUGGGACGUAAAACCCUUUCGACGGGGAAGAAACCGCAAGGUUGACGGUACCCGUAGAAGAAGCCCCGGCUAACUCCGUGCCAGCAGCCGCCGUAAGAC
rnacentral:rRNA from 1 species